rnacentral:rRNA from 1 species
UACAGAGGGCCCAAGCGUUGUUCGGAUUCACUGGGCGUAAAGGGUGCGUAGGCGGUCGGGUAAGUCUGACGUGAAAUCUUCAAGCUCAACUUGGAAACUGCGUCGGAUACUAUUAGGCUCGAGGAAUGGAGGGGAGACUGGAAUACUUGGUGUAGCAGUGAAAUGCGUAGAUAUCAAGUGGAACACCAGUGGCGAAGGCGAGUCUCUGGACAUUUCCUGACGCUGAGGCACGAAAGCCAGGGGAGCAAACGGG